CACGACUCCAUUGUUUUUGAGACAAACAUUUUAUCACUUUGGGUUUUGCAAAAAGUCGCACGUGACGAACUCUUUUCACCAAAAUACCCCCACCCAGUCCCAGUAUUCAUAAUCAUCGCAGAGGUUUCAGGGUAAUUAACGCCACCAAAGCAGGAGUCUCGGAAACGCAGGAAAGACAACGCAAUCGCACGCAAGGAGCAUAUGGGUUCAAGAGGAACAAACAUAUUGCUAUCAAGGGCAAGUAGGAUCAAAUCAAAGCUUCAAUCGGUGCUUGAGGCCAAGAUUUUGGAAGUUGAAGAUGUUUCAUAUCAGCAUGCGGGCCAUGCUGCUGUUAAGGACAAUGCAAAUGAAACACAUUUUAAUGUGAAAGUUGUUUCGGGUAAAUUUGAUGGACAGAAUCUUGUGAAGCGCCACCGUAUGGUUUAUGAUGCACUUGCGGAUGAGCUUGAAUCUGGUUUGCAUGCAAUUUCCAUUGUUGCAAAGACUCCUAAAGAAGCUGGACUUUGAUUGAAAAAGUUUUUAUUGAUUAUUGUUUUAGUUUAGUGCUUUAUUGAAUGAUGAAAUAAGUUUUGGUUUCUUAGUUGCACAUUCUUGCUUAUUGUGAUGAAUAUAUUUGUUUGUUAUGAUUAUUGUAUUGAAUUUUGUGUUUUUAUAACAGUGUGUUAUUGUUUAUUUA